rnacentral:rRNA from 1 species
GACGAACGCUGGCGGCGUGCCUAAUACAUGCAAGUCGAACGCAGUGGGGACGGGUUCGUAACACGUGGGUAACCUCCCAUCAGAGGGGAUAACCCUUGGAUACAGGUGCUAAACCGCUACUGAUGGAUGGACCCGCGGUGGAUUAGCUAGUUGGAGAGGUAACGGCUCACCAAGGCCACGAUGCAUAGCCGGCCUGAGAGGGUGACCGGCCACACUGGGACUGAGACACGGCCCAGACUCCUACGGGAGGCAGCAGUAGGGAAUAUUCGGCAAUGGACGAAAGUCUGACCGAGCAACGCCGCGUGAGUGAAGAAGGUUUUCGGAUCGUAAAGCUCUGUUGUUAGAGAAGCGGUAUCUGACGAGAAAGCCACGGCUAACUACGUGCCAGCAGCCGCGGUAAUAC